UGGGGAAUCUUGCGCAAUGGGCGAAAGCCUGCCGCAGCCAUGCCGCGUGAAUGAUGAAGGUCUUAGGAUUGUAAAAUUCUUUCACCGGGGACGAUAAUGACGGUACCCGGAGAAGAAGCCCCGGCUAACUUCGUGCCAGCAGCCGCGGUAAUACGAAGGGGGCUAGCGUUGCUCGGAAUUACUGGGCGUAAAGGGAGCGUAGGCGGACAUUUAAGUCAGGGGUGAAAUCCCGGGGCUCAACCUCGGAAUUGCCUUUGAUACUGGGUGUCUUGAGUAUGAGAGAGGUGUGUGGAACUCCGAGUGUAGAGGUGAAAUUCGUAGAUAUUCAGAAGAACACCAGUGGCGAAGGCGACACACUGGCUCAUUACUGACGCUAAGGCUCGAAAGCGUGGGGAGCAAACAGG
rnacentral:rRNA from 1 species